AACGAACGCUGGCGGCAUGCCUAACACAUGCAAGUCGAACGAGACCUUCGGGUCUAGUGGCGCACGGGUGCGUAACGCGUGGGAACCUGCCCUUAUGUUCGGAAUAACUCCCCGAAAGGGGUGCUAAUACCGGAUAAUGUCUUCGGACCAAAGAUUUAUCGCCUUUGGAUGGGCCCGCGUUGGAUUAGCUAGUUGGUAGGGUAAAAGCCUACCAAGGCGACGAUCCAUAGCUGGUCUGAGAGGAUGAUCAGCCACACUGGGACUGAGACACGGCCCAGACUCCUACGGGAGGCAGCAGUGGGGAAUAGUGGAAAAUGGGGGAAAGCCUGAUCCAGCAAUGCCGCGUGAGUGAUGAAGGCCUUAGGGUUGUAAAGCUCUUUUAGCCGGGAUGAUAAUGACAGUACCGGGAGAAUAAGCUCCGGCUAACUCCGUG
rnacentral:rRNA from 1 species